rnacentral:rRNA from 1 species
UACGUAGGGUGCAAGCGUUGUCCGGAAUUAUUGGGCGUAAAGAGCUCGUAGGCGGUCUGUCGCGUCGGCUGUGAAAACCCGGGGCUCAACCCCGGGCCUGCAGUCGAUACGGGCAGACUAGAGUGCGGUAGGGGAGACUGGAAUUCCUGGUGUAGCGGUGAAAUGCGCAGAUAUCGGGAGGAACACCAGUGGCGAAGGCGGCUUCCUGGCCUGUUCUUGACGCUGAGGCGCGAAAGCUAGGGGAGCAAACGGG